rnacentral:lncRNA from 1 species
GGAAAGGCAAUGCUUAGCCUUAUACAAGGUGAGGGCGGUGCCUAGCCCAAUUCCAGGAGUGGAGACAAUGCUUAGUCUCAUGCAGGAGAAGGAGACCGCGCUUAGCCUCUGGCAAAUAAGGUAGUGCUUAGCCUUAUGCAAGGUGAGGGCAGUGCAUAGCCCUAUGCAAGGAGUGGAGACAAUGCUUAGUCUCAUGCAAAGAAAGGCAACGUUUAGCCUUAUGCAAUGGUGAAGGCAGUGUUUAGCCCUAUGCAAAGAGUGGAGACAAUGCUUGGUCUAAUGUAAGGAAAGGAGACAAUGCCUAGUCUCAUGCAAUGAAAGGAGACAAUGCUUAGUCUCUGGCAAGGAAAAGCAAUGCUUAGCCUUAUACAAGGUGAGGGCGGUGCCUAGCCCUAUGCAAGGAGUGGAGACAAUGCUUAGUCUCAUGUAGGAAAAGGAGACCGGGCUUAACCUCUGGCAAAGAAGGCAGUGCUUAGCCUUAUGCAAGGGGUGGGUAGUGCCUAACCCUAUGCAAGGAAUGGAGACAAUGCUUAGUCUCACGCAAAGAAAGGCAACGUUUAGCCUUAUGCAAUGGUGAGGGCAGUGUUGAGCCCUAUGCAAAGAGUUCAGACAAUGGUUAGUCUCAUGCAAGGAAAGGAGACAAUGUCUAGUCUCAUGCAAGGAAAGGAGACAAUGCUUAGUCUCUGUCAAGGAAAGGCAAUGCUUAGCCUUAUACAAGGUUAGGGCGGUGCCUAGUCCUAUGCAAGGAGUGGAGACAAUGCUUUGUCUCAUGCAGGGAAAGGAGACCGUGCUUAGCUUCUGGCAAAGAAUGUACUGCGUAUCCUUAUGCAAGGUGAGGGCAGUGCAUAGCCCUAUGCAAGGAGUGGAGACAAUGCUUAGUCUCAUGCAAAGUAAGGCAACGUUUAGCCUUAUGUAAUGGUAAGGGCAGUGUUUAGCCCUAUGCAAAUAGUGGAGACAAUGCUUAGUCUAAUGUAAGGAAAGAACACAAUGCUUAGUCUCUGGCAAGAAAAGGCAAUGCUUAGCCUUAUACAAGGUGAGGGCGGUGCCUAGCCCUAUGCAAGGAAUGGAGACAAUGCUUAGUCUCAUGCAAAUAAAGGCAAUGUUUAGCCUUAUGCAAUGGUGAGGGAAGUGUUUAGACCUAUGCAAAGAGUGU